AGGACGAACGCUGGCGGCGUGCCUAACACAUGCAAGUCGAACGAGGUCCAUCCUUCGGGAGAAGACCUAGUGGCGAACGGGUGAGUAACACGUGAGGAACCUGCCCCGAAGACCGGGAUAACCCUCCGAAAGGAGAGCUAAUACCGGAUACCCCCACCGAACCGCAUGGUUUGGUGAGGAAAUGGAUUCCGCUUCGGGAGGGCCUCGCGGCCUAUCAGCUAGUUGGUGGGGUAACGGCCCACCAAGGCAUCGACGGGUAGCUGGUCUGAGAGGACGAUCAGCCACACUGGGACUGAGACACGGCCCAGACUCCUACGGGAGGCAGCAGUGGGGAAUCUUGCGCAAUGGGCGAAAGCCUGACGCAGCAACGCCGCGUGGGGAUGAAGGCUCUCGGGUUGUAAACCCCUUUCAGCAGGGACGAAUCAAGACGGUACCUGCAGAAGAAGCCCCGGCUAACUACGUG
rnacentral:rRNA from 1 species